rnacentral:rRNA from 1 species
AACGAACGCUGGCGGCGCGCUUAACACAUGCAAGUCGAACGAGAAGGCGUAGCAAUACGCUUGUACAGUGGCGAACGGGUGAGUAAUACGUGGGCGACCUACCUCGAGUGGGAAUAACCCGCCGAAGGCGGGCUAAUGCCGCGUACGCUUUCCAUCUUUAUGGAGGUGGAAGGAAAGCCGUGCCGUGGGCACGGCGCUCAAGGAUGGGCUCACGUCCUAUCAGCUUGUUGGUAGGGAACGGCCUACCAAGGCUCCGACGGGUAGCUGGUCUGAGAGGACGAUCAGCCACACUGGCACUGCGGACACGGGCCAGACUCCUACGGGAGGCAGCAGUGAGGAAUAUUGCGCAAUGGG